rnacentral:rRNA from 1 species
AUGCUGAAAGCUGCAGCCACAUAUGAGAAGGUGUUCGUGAGGUAUGAAGAAGAGGACCCAUACUUUGCAAUUGAGCUAAAUGGCGACAAAAUGCCAGGAGUGCCUCAACCAGAAGAUUGGGAUAAUGCUUCAAAGAUGGCAGAGUUUCUUGAGCAUUUCUAUAAGCUUACCCUUCGUGUUUCAGCCUCAAAUCAUUGCACAUCUCACAUCUUCUUCCAUCAAAUUGCUGAUAUCAUUGUCUUGCUGAGGGCUUGGUGUGGAAGUGGAGACCCUUUGCGGAGAGAGAUGGGAGAAAGGAUGCUGGACAAGUACAACAAGUAUUGGGCAGAUCACAAGAGCUUCAACAUCUUGAUCUUUGUGGCUGUUGCUCUUGAUCCAAGAUACAAGUUGUCAAAUUACAUCAAGAUUGCAACUUUUGAAAUGUUUGGGCAGAUCAAUGGAGAGGAAGUGUGGACAAAAAUGAAUACAACUCUUACAAAUCUGUUCCAAGAGUAUUUUAAGUUAUAUGGUCCAACUGAGCAAGAAGUGCAGCCUGAUGAUGCACCUAGCUUUGAAGAGGACAGCAGCGAAAGCUUGAUGAGUUCCUUGAUUGCAAAGAGAAUGAGAAUGAAUGACUGUGGAAUCAGCAUUAGCCCUUCGAAGUCUGAACUUGAAAAGUAUCUUACAGAGGAUAAUGAAGCAAACAGCAGCAAAUUCAACAUUCUUGAGUGGUGGAAGGUCAACUCAUCUAGAUUCCCUGUGCUAUCACGUUUAGCUCGUGAUGUCCUAGCUUUCCCGAUAUCUACAGUCGCAUCAGAGUCAGCUUUUAGCACCGGUGGACGCAUUCUUGAUGAGUUCCGAAGCUCGCUCACUCCAUUCAUGGUGCAGGCACUAAUUUGUACUCAGGAUUGGUUGCGAAGAGAAAUUCCUGUUAACAAUGAAGAGAAUGAAGAGCUACUUGCCAACCUAGAGGAUGCGAUACUUCAAGAAUUGUCUGAUCUGAGCGUUGCUAAUGCUAAGUCCGGUACAAGUGCUGGUGUCCACAUCACCAUUGAUGACAUCGAAUCAUAA